AAAAAAAAAGAAAAAUUGUAUAUUUGGUAUCUUUUACUUUUAUUUGUAGACGAGUAGUCACGGUGAUCUGACGAGCGACCUAUUUUACACGAUCUAAAAAAAAAGAAAGUGACGCUGCACAGCAGACCGACUAGCAAAGUAACAGCAGCAGCAGCAGCAGUGCAGAGGGGUCCGGUUAUUGGAGCGAGAUAAUGGCACCACGAGCAGCUAUGGAAAGCGGUGGGGACGACGUGGGCAGGGGGCGGGUCACCCCGUCGCCCAGGCCUGAUGACAUUUUUUAUGAGGCCUUAAAUAACGGACUAUGCCUCCAUGGAUACAUUUAUGCGUAUCGGUGGGAGGAGCUAUGUGGGGGGUGUGUGAGCGAGCUGCCAGCGGACGUGCAGCCGCUAUACACCUCCCACAGUAUGCAUUACAUACUGCUGGAUACCGAAAUG